CAGUCGCCGCGGUAAGACAGAGGAUGCAAGCGUUAAUCGGAAUUACUGGGCGUAAAGCGCGCGUAGGUGGUUUGUUAAGUUGGAUGUGAAAGCCCCGGGCUCAACCUGGGAACUGCAUCCAAAACUGGCAAGCUAGAGUACGGUAGAGGGUGGUGGAAUUUCCUGUGUAGCGGUGAAAUGCGUAGAUAUAGGAAGGAACACCAGUGGCGAAGGCGACCACCUGGACUGAUACUGACACUGAGGUGCGAAAGCGUGGGGAGCAAACAGGAUUAGAUACCCCCGUAGUCCCUGUCUCUUAUAC
rnacentral:rRNA from 1 species